rnacentral:misc_RNA from 1 species
GCCCAAUAUAUAAAAAUCAAAAAGUCCCUGGACUUGGAAAUGGGUUUUUUCUCUCUUUUUUUUAACCUUGAUAAUUUCCACUGAAAAAGCAGUGCAACUUUUUUAAUGGUUUUUUAAAUUGUGUUAAAUGAAUCUCUUAUUUUUAAAUUUAUGCUAUUAAACAAGUCAUUGUUGUUAAAUUAGAAAGUCUGGGGAUUCAAUAGCACAUUAGGGGCUCAAUAUCAAUAAGUAAUAGAUUUUGCCCAUCUUAAAAGAUCAUAUUUCUUUAUGAUAUUUUCCUCCUAUAUUAUGCAUCAAGUAAUGGUUUUCUCUACUCUCCUUUUU